AUGGAACCUAUUCAUCCACACUCCUUCAACAGUAUCGAAUACACUCCCACUGUAAACCUCGUCUUCUCCACCAACCCCUCUUCCGUUCUCUACCGCUCACAACACAAACCCUCGAAUUCGAGAUUCAAUGGAGAAAGCUUCGAAGCAACAAGCUUCUUCCGACGAAGAAUUCUCCAACUCGCCGAGCUCAUCAGAGGAAGAGCAAGUGAAUCAAUAGAUCAACGAAGAAGAAGAUUAAGAAGAGCGGGAAGUUGUAGCUCGUGUGGCUAG